UACGGGGGGGGCAAGCGUUGUUCGGAAUUACUGGGCGUAAAGGGCUCGUAGGUGGCCAACUAAGUCAGACGUGAAAUCCCUCAGCUUAACUGGGGAACUGCGUCUGAUACUGGAUGGCUUGAGAUUGGGAGAGGGAUGCGGAAUUCCAGGUGUAGCGGUGAAAUGCGUAGAUAUCUGGAGGAACACCAGCGGCGAAGGCGGCGCUCUGGGCCGGUACUGACACUGAGGAGCGAAAGCGUGGGUAGCAAACAGG
rnacentral:rRNA from 1 species